rnacentral:rRNA from 1 species
AAAAAAGUAGCGAAGCACACAGACCAUCUGUCGAGAAAAGCCGCUAUUGUGUAUACCGUACCCGUACCGUAAACCGACACAGGUGGAUGAGGAGAGAAUCCUAAGGCCGGCGGGAGAAGCAUUGUUAAGGAACUCGGCAAAAUGACCCCGUAACUUCGGGAGAAGGGGUGCUCACGCAAGUGAGCCGCAGAGAACUGGCCCAAGCAACUGUUUAGCAAAAACACAGGUCUAUGCAAAACCGAAAGGUGAGGUAUAUGGGCUGACGCCUGCCCGGUGCUGGAAGGUUAAGAGGAGAUGUUAGAGCAAUCGAAGCAUUGAAUUUAAGCCCCAGUAAACGGCGGCCGUAACGAUAACGGUCCUAAGGUAGCGAAAUUCCUUGUCGGGUAAGUUCCGACCCGCACGAAAGGCGUAAUGAUUUGGGCACUGUCUCGACAAUGCACCCGGUGAAAUUGAAAUACCAGUGAAGAUGCUGGUUACCUGCGCCAGGACGGAAAGACCCCAUGGAGCUUUACUCUAGCUUGAUACUGGGAUUCGGUAUUGCAUGUACAGGAUAGGUGGGAGACUAAGAGGUGAUGACGCCAGUUGUCACGGAGUCGAUGUUGGGAUACCACCCCUGCAGUACUGGGUUUCUAACCUGCGGCCGUGACCCGGCCGGGGGACAAUGUCUGGUGGGGAGUUUGACUGGGGCGGUCGCCUCCGAAAGGGUAUCGGAGGCGCUCAAAGGUUCCCUCAGAAUGGUUGGAAACCAUUCGAAGAGUGCAAAGGCAGAAGGGAGCUUGACUGCGACACCGACGGGUGGAGCAGGUACGAAAGUAGGACUUAGUGAUCCGGUGGUAUGAAAGUGGGAUUGCCAUCGCUCAACGGAUAAAAGCUACCCUGGGAUAACAGGCUUAUCACUCCCAAGAGUUCACAUCGACGGAGUGGUUUGGCACCUCGAUGUCGGCUCAUCGCAUCCUGGGGCUGUAGUAGGUCCCAAGGGUUGGGCUGUUCGCCCAUUAAAGCGGUACGCGAGCUGGGUUCAGAACGUCGUGAGACAGUUCGGUCCCUAUCCGGCGUGGGCGCAGGAUAUCUGAGAGGAGCUGUCCUUAGUACGAGAGGACCGGGAUGGACUGACCUCUGGUGCAUCGGUUGAGCCACCAGGCUCGUGGCCGAGUAGCCAAGUCGGGACGGGAUAAACGCUGAAGGCAUCUAAGCGUGAAGCCCCCCUCAAGAUGAGAUAUCCCAUAGAGUUAAUCUAGUAAGACCCCUUGAAGACGACGAGGUAGAUAGGCAGAAGGUGGAAGUGUGGUGACAUAUGGAGCUGAUCUGUACUAAUAGGUCGAGGGCUUACC